UACGUAGGGGGCAAGCGUUGUCCGGAAUUAUUGGGCGUGAAGAGCGUGUAGGCGGUCCGGUAAGUCAGCUGUGAAAGUCAAGGGCUCAACCCUUGAAUGCCGGUUGAUACUGUCGGGCUAGAGUCCGGAAGAGGCGAGUGGAAUUCCCGGUGUAGCGGUGAAAUGCGCAGAUAUCGGGAGGAACACCAAUGGCGAAGGCAGCUCGCUGGGACGGUACUGACGCUGAGACGCGAAAGCGUGGGGAGCAAACAGG
rnacentral:rRNA from 1 species